UACGUAGGUGGCAAGCGUUGUCCGGAAUUAUUGGGCGUAAAGCGCGCGCAGGUGGUUUCUUAAGUCUGAUGUGAAAGCCCACGGCUCAACCGUGGAGGGUCAUUGGAAACUGGGGAACUUGAGUGCAGAAGAGGAAAGUGGAAUUCCACGUGUAGCGGUGAAAUGCGUAGAGAUGUGGAGGAACACCAGUGGCGAAGGCGACUUUCUGGUCUGUAACUGACACUGAGGCGCGAAAGCGUGGGUAGUGAACAGG
rnacentral:rRNA from 1 species